UACGGGGGGGGCAAGCGUUGUUCGGAAUUACUGGGCGUAAAGCGUGCGCAGGCGGUUCGUUAAGUCAGAUGUGAAAGCCCCGGGCUCAACCUGGGAACUGCAUUUGAAACUGGCGGGCUUGAGUAUGGCAGAGGGGGGUGGAAUUCCGCGUGUAGCAGUGAAAUGCGUAGAGAUGCGGAGGAACACCGAUGGCGAAGGCAGCCCCCUGGGCCAAUACUGACGCUCAGGCACGAAAGCGUGGGGAGCAAACAGG
rnacentral:rRNA from 1 species